rnacentral:rRNA from 1 species
GACGAACGCUGGCGGCGUGCUUAACACAUGCAAGUCGAGCGGAAAGGCCCUUCGGGGUACUCGAGCGGCGAACGGGUGAGUAACACGUGAGUAACCUGCCCCAGACUUUGGGAUAACCCUCGGAAACGGGGGCUAAUACCGGAUACGACACAGCUUCGCAUGGGGUCUGUGUGGAAAGUUUUUCGGUUUGGGAUGGGCUCGCGGCCUAUCAGCUUGUUGGUGGGGUGAUGGCCUACCAAGGCGACGACGGGUAGCCGGCCUGAGAGGGCGACCGGCCACACUGGGACUGAGACACGGCCCAGACUCCUACGGGAGGCAGCAGUGGGGAAUAUUGCACAAUGGGCGGAAGCCUGAUGCGGCGACGCCGCGUGAGGGAUGACGGCCUUCGGGUUGUAAACCUCUUUCAGCAGGGACGAAGCGUAAGUGACGGUACCUGCAGAAGAAGCGCCGGCCAACUACGUG